rnacentral:rRNA from 1 species
UACGAAGGGGGCUAGCGUUGUUCGGAAUUACUGGGCGUAAAGCGUGCGCAGGCGGCUGUGCAAGACCGAUGUGAAAUCCCCGGGCUUAACCUGGGAAUGGCAUUGGUGACUGCACGGCUAGAGUGUGUCAGAGGGGGGUAGAAUUCCACGUGUAGCAGUGAAAUGCGUAGAGAUGUGGAGGAAUACCGAUGGCGAAGGCAGCCCCCUGGGAUAACACUGACGCUCAUGCACGAAAGCGUGGGGAGCAAACAGG